GGGCAAUGGGCGAAAGCCUGACCCAGCAACGCCGCGUGUGUGAUGAAGGCCUUCGGGUCGUAAAGCACUUUUCUGGGAGAUGAGAAAGGACAGUAUCCCAGGAAUAAGUCUCGGCUAACUACGUGCCAGCAGCCGCGGUAAAACGUAGGAGGCGAGCGUUAUCCGGAUUCACUGGGCGUAAAGCGCGUGCAGGUGGCGCGGUAAGUUGGGCGUGAAAUCUCCCGGCUCAACUGGGAGAGGUCGUCCAAUACUACCGUGCUUGGGAGCAGAAGAGGAAGAUGGAAUUCCCGGUGUAGUGGUGAAAUGCGUAGAUAUCGGGAGGAACACCAGUGGCGAAGGCGAUCUUCUGGUCUGUUUCUGACACUCAGACGCGACAGCUAGGGUAGUAAACGGGAUUAGAGACCCCGGUAAUCCUAGCCGUAAACGAUGUGAACUUGGCGUUGGUGGGUUAAACUCCAUCAGUGCCGUAGCAAACGCGAUAAGUUCACCGCCUGGGGACUACGGCCGCAAGGUUA
rnacentral:rRNA from 1 species